CAGCCGCCACGGGAAAACGGAGGGUGCAAGCGUUAUCCGGAUUUAUUGGGUUUAAAGGGUCCGUAGGCGGACUUAUAAGUCAGUGGUGAAAGCCUGUCGCUUAACGAUAGAACUGCCAUUGAUACUGUAAGUCUUGAGUAUAUUUGAGGUAGCUGGAAUAAGUAGUGUAGCGGUGAAAUGCAUAGAUAUUACUUAGAACACCAAUUGCGAAGGCAGGUUACCAAGAUAUAACUGACGCUGAGGGACGAAAGCGUGGGUAGCGAACAGGAUUAGAUACCCGCGUAGUCCCUGUCUCUUAUAC
rnacentral:rRNA from 1 species